rnacentral:rRNA from 1 species
AUGCUAGCAAGGUGGGCAGCAUAUCUGGAGAGGUUUAACUAUCUCAUCGUGCAUAAAUCUGGAAUAACUAAUAGGGUGGCCGAUGCUUUGAGUCGUCGUGCAUGCCUCUUUACUUCUUUUGAAGUUGAACUUCCGGGCAUGGAUCAAAUAAAGGAGUUGUAUGAGGGUGACGAAGACUUUGGCCAUGUUUGGGUAAAGCACGCAAGGGGCCAACCAUUAGGUGAUGACUAUUUGAUGCAAGAUGGAUAUCUCUUCAAAAAUGAUCGUUUGUGCAUUCCAAGAAGUUCUCUACGUGACAAGCUGGUUAGAGAGCUCCAUUCAAGUGAUCUUAGUGGCCAUGUUGGACGGGACAAGAAUGUCGCUAGCCUGGAAGCUCACUACUUUUGGCCACAACUAAAGAGAGAUGCUGGAAAGUUUGUUCAGCGAUGCCCUAUAUGUCAAACCUACAAAGGCCAAGUCCAGAACAUAGGGUUAUACAUGCCUUUUCUUGUUCCCGUCGCUCCAUGGGAGGACAUCUCUAUGGACUUCGUCUUGGGCUUGCCAAGAACAAGACGAGGGAGUGAUGCUGUGUUUGUGGUCGUGGACAGAUUCUCUAAGAUGGCUCAUUUCAUUCCAUGCCUCAAGGACACUGAUCAUGUGGCAAACCUAUUCUUUCGAGAAGUGGUCAGACAUCAUGGAGUUCCAAGGUCCAUCGUCUCAGAUCGUGAUAGCAAGCUUCUUGAUGCAUUUUGGCUCACUUUGUGGAAGCAAUUCAACACUGAAUUGAAAUUUUCUAGCAUUGCUCAUCCACAAACAGAUGGACAAACGGAAGUGGUGAACAAGUUUUUGGGUAAUAUGAUCCGUUGCAUUUGUGGAGAAAGAAAGGGGCAAUGGGAUUUGGCUUUAUCUCUUGCAGAGUUCUCCUACAAUAACUCCAAGCAUAGAUCCACAGGAAGGGGCCCUUUUUCCAUUGUCUACACUAAAGUUCCAACACAUGUGGUGGACCUGGUGAAGCUGCCAUCAAGGGGAAACUCAAAAUCAGCAUUGUCCUUUACUGAUAAUUACACCGAGUUAUUUGAAGAGAUUCGCGGCACUUUGGAAGCAAAAAAUCAGAAAUAUAAACAACUUGUUGAUUGCAAAAAGAGGCCAAAAUCAUUCCAAGUCGGUGAUAAGGUGAUGGUCUACCUCCGAAAAGAGAGGCUACCUUUAGGUGUUAAAGGGAAACUUAUGCAGCGAAGGUAUGGGCCCUUCUCUAUCGUGAGGAAGAUAAAUGAUAAUGCUUAUAUGAUAGAUCUUCCAAGUGACAUGGGUAUCUCCAACACUUUCAAUGUUGCGGACUUGACUCUCUACCAUCCAGAAGAAGCACUCUAUGAAGAUAACUCGAGGGCGAGUUCCAAACAACCAGGGGAGAAUGAUGAGGAACAAUAG